AGAGUGUUCAAGGCAGGCUAAAGCUUGAAUAGAUUAGCAUGGAAUAACGAAAUAGGACGUUUGAUCUUAUUUUGUUGGUUUCUAAGAUCGACGUAAUGAUUAAUAGGGAUAUUGGGGGCAUUAGUAUUCAAUUGUCAGAGGUGAAAUUCUUGGAUUUAUUGAAGACUAACUACUGCGAAAGCAUUUGCCAAGGAUGUUUUCAUUAAUCAGGAACGAAAGUUAGGGGAUCGAAGACGAUCAGAUACCGUCGUAGUCUUAACCAUAAACUAUGCCGACCAGGGAUCGGACGAUGUUAUUUUUUGACUCGUUCGGCGCCUUACGGGAAAC
rnacentral:rRNA from 2 species